AUUGAACGCUGGCGGCAGGCCUAACACAUGCAAGUCGAGCGGAUGAAGGGAGCUUGCUCCUGGAUUCAGCGGCGGACGGGUGAGUAAUGCCUAGGAAUCUGCUUGGUAGUGGGGGAUAACGUCCGGAAACGGGCGCUAAUAACGCAUACGUCCUGAGGGUGAAAGUGGGGGAUCUUCGGACCUCAUGCUAUCAGAUGAGCCUAGGUCGGAUUAGCUAGUUGGUGGGGUAAAGGCCUACCAAGGCGACGAUCCGUAACUGGUCUGAGAGGAUGAUCAGUCACACUAGAACUGGAACACGGUCAUGGGUCCUGCGGGAGGCAGCAGUGGGGAAUAGUGGACAAUGGGCGAAAGCCUGAUCCAGCCAUGCCGCGUGUGUGGAGAAGGUCUUCGGAUUGUAAAGCACUUUAAGUUGGGAGGAAGGGCAGUAAGUUAAUACCUUGCUGUUUUGACGUUACCAACAGAAUAAGCACCGGCUAACUUCGUG
rnacentral:rRNA from 1 species